AUUCCUUUAGUAUUAAUUAGUACAGUUGACUUCCAAUCAAUUAGUCCUGGUACAACCCAGGAAAGAAUA
ensembl:Mt_tRNA